rnacentral:rRNA from 1 species
ACGGAGGAUCCGAGCGUUAUCCGGAUUUACUGGGUUUAAAGGGUGCGUAGGCGGGCCCCUCAGUCAGCGGUGAAAGUCUGCGGCUCAACCGUAGGAUUGCCGUUGAUACUGGGGGCCUUGGAUUCGGUCGAGGCGGGCGGAAUGCGAGGUGUAGCGGUGAAAUGCUUAGAUAUCUGGAGGAACGCCGGUGGCGAAGGCGGCUCCCUGGGCCGAUAUCGACGCUGAGGCACGAAAGCGUGGGGAGCGAACAG